rnacentral:rRNA from 1 species
UUUUUGCCGCAAGGCU